UUGACCCACUCGCCAGAGGAAAACCGAUCUUGGUUGCUGGUGUCUGGUGAGCCAAUUUCAUAAGCGAACUGUGUCUGUACAUUCCAUAUCAAACAAUGAAUUUAUCGUGUUAACAAAUGGUCAAAUAAACUUAAAUGAACAAAACUGGCAUUUCACGUUCAUUCCCGUUGUCAAACC